rnacentral:ncRNA from 1 species
UGGAUAUUGUCGGCAAUAGGUGCCUUUGUGUGCAUGAGCACGAAGGGUAACAGGGAAUCGGGUGAAAGUCCCGAGCGGUCCCGCCACUGUAAUCAGGGAGUUCUCUUUGAUGAAGUUCCACUCAUAUUCAUAUGGGGAAGGACAAAGAGCGCAUCGAUCUGAAAGCCAGGAGACCUACCUACUUGCCACACCCAGG